rnacentral:misc_RNA from 1 species
AUCACAACCAUUAACACUGAUUAAGACUAGAAAAAAUAACUUCAAGCUGUAUUAUAUGUCACAUCUUCAAUUGCAUAAUCAUAAGUAUACUCAGACAACAUAUCUGUAAGUUACAUAUCUUCCUGCAGUCUCACUUGGUCUGAUGAUCUUCACAACUUGUCCACGCUUUAGCCCGUAAUAUCUUGCAACCGGGUCAGUCACCUGUAUGCGUGGUAGCUG